CGCAGACUUGACACCAUGGAGGAUCAGAGGCGAAGGUACAACUUAAAACUCAGGGGAGUGCCGGAAAAUGUGGGACUGUCGGACUUACCUCACUUUAUCAGGCGGUUCUUCGCGGCCCACCUCUCUCCGAAACAAGCCAAGAACAUGAGGCUAGACGGUAUGUUCCGUCUCCCCAAACCAACCAACGCACCAUCCUCCACUUCACCAGACCUCAUCCUCCGCUUCAGCACCCUACAGGACAAGGCCCUCUUGCAAGCCGCGGUGAGGGGAAAGACGCCCAUUACCUUUGAGGGCGCCUCACUGCUCAUUUUCCCGGAUCUAGCUAAGAACACACUCCUGUGGCGCCAAUCCCUACGACCACUACUUCAGCAGCUACGCACUAACGAGGUGCCAUAUCGAUGGGGCCCCUCCCGCACGGUCCUAAUAACAGCCCAAGAC